rnacentral:lncRNA from 10 species
CCAAGCUUGAGCCAAGGAAGACAGAUUGUUCCUGGUUUGUUUAUAAGCUUACAGGGGAGUGGAAACAAUCUUUCCAGCCAAGCUUCCUUGGGCCAGUUGAAGUGAAACCAAGGAUUGUCCACUUAUCUCAGUAAUUAAGGCACAAAGAGACCCAUGCUGUUUGGGUCUGACUUUUCCAAAUCUGAGGGAUGAUGGUUUUAGCAAAUUCAGUGUGGACCAGAUCUUUGAUUCACUGUGGUCAUUCAGUCGUUUCUGAGUCAUUGCUGGACAGCAGAAGCAGACAGCUGAAUCACAGCUCAGAAAACCGUAAUGAGCUGAGCAGCAUUACAGCUUGUUUCGCUUAAUAUUUAUUCUUAAAACAUGACUUCAUUUGUGAUGGCUAUACUUGGAGAUCCAGAUACAAGUCCAGCGUGUUUGCUGUAACAAGUUAAUGCGAUGAAAUAUGGAAAAACCUAUUUGCCUCUGUCUUCAAAAUUUGCACAAAGCUCCUUUCUGGUGAGGAUUGCGUUGCACUGAUCUCUACACAUUUUCCUGGCAUGCAGUGCUGUUUGGCCCUUUAUGGGAUGGGCACAAAGACCCUGUGUCUACCUUCCCAGUGGGCUGCAUAAGAGACCGGGCACAGUGGAGACACAUACAAAGGGUCUGUGAAGUGCUACGGUGAGGACCCCCCGGCAGCCUCUGCUCUCAACAUAUCCUCCGUGAAUCAGUUCCGCCCUUCCCUGAUUGCGGCUGUCUGAAAAUAAAUCCCUCUCUGAAAGCGCUCGUUGGUGAUAAUCAUUUUACUGGACAUUUUAUCAGGAGGCAGAGCCAAUUGAUGUGGUGUAACACAGAGCCCUGAUGAAAACACCAUCAUGCUGCUUCCCGCUUCUCUCUUUCCUUCCUCGAGGUUCUAUUUCUGCCAGCAAUCUCAUUUUUGCCACCAGUGCUGACGAUAACGAAAUCUCCUUAUUGUCCUGUUGCUUUUGGAUUCCAACGCGCCUUUCUGAGGGCCACCCAGCUCCUUCCUGCCACUGCGGUGCAUCCCGCGCAGAUGCCACUCCCACACACAACUGGGCUGCUGUUCUGGUGUCCUUUACCCACUCUUCCGCUAAGGUGCUCUGUCAGCGCUUUUUCUUCUUUUGAGGAUCUGUCUCACCUCCGUGCCUCGGGGCCACCGACCUAGUGAAGGAUGGACACGUGCCCCAACAAGCCUCCCUCUCCCGGGAAUGGGGCUCUCCUGGGACCCGGUCAGUGACCCCACAGCCGUCUGCUCCUGGGGCCUUGAGGCCUACUCCAAUCCUCACCCAUGUCCAUGGCUCUGCAUUGUCUUUAGUGGUAUCCUGUAUCUGAGUAUCAAUUUUAGCUGGAAUAUUUUGUAUUGCUGGAAAAUGAAGAAAAUUAAGUGAUGGAAACAUUCAUCAGGAUAUUAAAACUUUUUGAAUUGAUUUAUCCUAGUUGUACGUAUUUUGGGGGGUACAUGUGAUAUUGUGAUACAUUUAUACAGUGUGUAAUCAUCAAACUAGGGCAAUAGGGUUAUUCAGUACCUCAAACAUUUUAUCAGACUGUUACUGUAAUGAACGUUUUCCCAUAUUUCUGCUUAUACCGAUUAAGUAAAUUUUAAUUUCCUUGACCAUAAAAUAAGUGCUUGCUGUGAGAGUAGACAAGGAACUUUGGGAUGAAUCCAUGCUCCCUGCAUGACUCAACGUUUGAGGACCAAGCAGCCACCACACACAGGCACACACAGGCACACAGAGUUGCACAGAGUCACACACAGGCACACACAGGUACACACAGCCACACACAGGCACACACAGUGGUGCUGCGUCCUGGCUCAGGGAGGGGCAUGUGAGCCGUGGCCCUCAGAGGUGAGCUCCUGCUGGGACUGCCAGGUCAGGCCCUCCUCCAGGACAUCACUGGGACCUCACUUACAGUUGCUGUCACCAACCUACCAUCACCUCACAUUGUCCCGACAGUGAUUCUGCCCUUGAACUUAUUUCUGCUUUCUCCCAUGGUCCAAGUCUCAGCUUAGCCUGGCCUGCACAGUGGCCUCAUGCUGGUUAGUCUGGUUCAGCACAGACAGUCAAGCCUCACUUUACAUGCUGCUGUCAUGCUCCCCUGGGAAACUCCAUAAAAUCACACACAUUUCAUACCAGAGGGACUUAAAAGAUCAUAGAGCUUUGAAAGUUAUAUUUUGCUUUGCAACUUUCUUCCCCAAAUGUUUUUGCAAAAGCCUAAGUGGCUCUUGGAACAGCGGGGCUCCCAGGAACACAGCUGGAGCAGGGCCCUCUUCAGCCUCCCUUAGAAUGCGAGGAGACUGAGGAGUAGACGAAGCUCAAUAGCAGCUAAAAUGGUGGUGGUGGAGUGCAGAAGAAAACUCAAGGCUUUUUUUUUCUAUCAUUAUUCCAAUUUUUAUUAACUUAAGAAUGAUCUUUUGGUCUGUGAAGGAUUUUUCAUUUAUACCCUCUUAUGCCCUAGUCUAACAUUUUGCAAAAAUUUAACCCAGCAAAACUAGGAUAAGUUAAUUAGAUGUGUCAGGAAAAUGAAACCAGGCUAGUA